GGUCGCGGGCGGCAUGCCUUAACAUGCAAGUCGAACGGCAGCACGGGCUUCGGCCUGGUGGCGAGUGGCGAACGGGUGAGUAAUACAUCGGAACGUGCCCCGUUGUGGGGGAUAACCAGUCGAAAGAUUGGCUAAUACCGCAUACGACCUGAGGGUGAAAGCGGGGGACCGCAAGGCCUCGCGCAGCAGGAGCGGCCGAUGUCUGAUUAGCUAGUUGGUGGGGUAAAGGCCCACCAAGGCGACGAUCAGUAGCUGGUCUGAGAGGACGAUCAGCCACACUGGGACUGAGACACGGCCCAGAUUCCUACGGGAGGCAGCAGUGGGGAAUAUUGGACAAUGGGCGCAAGCCUGAUCCAGCCAUGCCGCGUGAGUGAUGAAGGCCUUAGGGUUGUAAAGCUCUUUUACCUGGGAAGAUAAUGACUGUACCAGGAGAAUAAGCCCCGGCUAACUUCGUGCCAGCAGCCGCGGUAAUACGAAGGGUGCAAGCGUUACUCGGAAUUACUGGGCGUAAAGCGUGCGUAGGUGGUUUGUUAAGUCUGUUGUGAAAGCCCCGGGCUCAACCUGGGAAUGGCAAUGGAUACUGGCAAGCUAGAGUGCGGUAGGGGGUAGUGGAAUUCCCGGUGUAGCGGUGAAAUGCGUAGAGAUCGGGAGGAACACCAGUGGCGAAGGCGGCUACCUGGACCAGCACUGACGCUGAGGCACGAAAGCGUGGGGAGCGAACAGGAUUAGAUACCCUGGUAGUCCACGCCGUAAACGAUGAGGACUGGAUGUUGGCAGGGGAACCUGUCAGUAUCGAAGCAAACGCGAUAAGUCUUCCACCUGGGGAGUACGGCCGCAAGGUUGAAACUCAAAUGAAUUGACGGGGGCCCGCACAAGCGGUGGAGCAUGUGGUUUAAUUCGAUGCAACGCGAAGAACCUUACCUGCUCUUGACGUCCUGCGACCCCGGGAGAGACCCUGGGGUGCCGAAAGAACGCAAAGACAGGUGCUGCAUGCUGUCUUCAGCUCGUGGUGGUGAGGGGUGGGGUUAAGUCCCGCAACGAGCGCAACCCCCCAUCAUUAGUUCGCCUCCAGUCCAUG
rnacentral:rRNA from 1 species